rnacentral:rRNA from 1 species
AACGUAGGAGACAAACGUUAUCCGGAGUUACUGGGCGUAAAGGGCGUGUAGGCGGUUUGUUAAGUCUGGCGUGAAAGCUCUCGGCUAAACCGGGAGAGGUCGUUGGAUACUGGCGAACUAGAGGAUGGUAGAGGCGUGUGGAAUUCCGGGUGUAGUGGUGAAAUGCGUAGAGAUCCGGAGGAACACCAGUGGCGAAGGCGACACGCUGGGCCAUACCUGACGCUCAUGUACGAAAGCGUGGGGAGCAAACAGG